rnacentral:lncRNA from 1 species
CAUGAGAUUGUUUUUUCUGAUGAGGAGCUGUGUGAAAAUAUGUUGGAAAAAAGGGACGAAGUGGGUCUAACAAAUCAAAAAAAUGAAGAAAAGGAGGACAUAAAUGGAGAUGUAAAUGAGGAUAAAAAGAAAGACAUAAUAGACGGAAUGGACGGAAUAGGCGAAAUAGACGAAAUAGACAAUAAAAAUAAGGAUUAUAUUGAUUUUACAGAUUACGCACCUAAUCAAAGUAAAUUAAUUUAUGAUGAGAAAGAAAAACAGAAUACUACAACUAACAUAACACAAAUAAAAAAAUUAAAUACCAUAACAAGCGAAACGAAUGCACAAAAUAUAUUCGAUGUGGUUUCGAACAUGGGAUUAUAUGUAAACACAAAUGCAGUAUGUAUAUCUGAAAAAAAAUUAAAUAAUGAAGACAAUAAGUUGACUAAUAUGAUGACUAUGACAGAAACGGAAAAAGUAAGUAAGUCCGAUUGGAAUGAUAAUAAUACUUAUUCAAAUUCAAAAAACAUUAAUGAUUUAAAAAUAAAUAAACAUUUUAAUAAUGACAAACAAGCGAGUACUAACAAUAAAUGUAUUGAACAAAAUGAAACUGUAUUGAGCGUUGAAAAUUGUAUAAAUAUCGAAAAGGAUGCAAAUAAUGUAGAUGGUCAUGUUAUGGUUAGUAACAUCAUUAAUGUUUUCAGUAGCAGUAACAACAGUGUAAGUAAUAGUAAUAAUAACAAUCAUUCGCAAAUAAACAUAAAUAAAAAAAAAAAAACUGAUAUAAAAAUUGUGAGUAAAAACAAAAUAAACGAAACGGACAAAUUUUUUAAUGAGAAGAAGUACAAAAUGGGUACUACUUCUACUACUGCAAUUGUCACUCCUACUGAUAAUAAUNNNNNNNNNNUUAAAAAAAUAAAACGAAUGCAUGAGAUUGUUUUUUCUGAUGAGGAGCUGUGUGAAAAUAUGUUGGAAAAAAGGGACGAAGUGGGUCUAACAAAUCAAAAAAAUGAAGAAAAGGAGGACAUAAAUGGAGAUGUAAAUGAGGAUAAAAAGAAAGACAUAAUAGACGGAAUGGACGGAAUAGGCGAAAUAGACGAAAUAGACAAUAAAAAUAAGGAUUAUAUUGAUUUUACAGAUUACGCACCUAAUCAAAGUAAAUUAAUUUAUGAUGAGAAAGAAAAACAGAAUACUACAACUAACAUAACACAAAUAAAAAAAUUAAAUACCAUAACAAGCGAAACGAAUGCACAAAAUAUAUUCGAUGUGGUUUCGAACAUGGGAUUAUAUGUAAACACAAAUGCAGUAUGUAUAUCUGAAAAAAAAUUAAAUAAUGAAGACAAUAAGUUGACUAAUAUGAUGACUAUGACAGAAACGGAAAAAGUAAGUAAGUCCGAUUGGAAUGAUAAUAAUACUUAUUCAAAUUCAAAAAACAUUAAUGAUUUAAAAAUAAAUAAACAUUUUAAUAAUGACAAACAAGCGAGUACUAACAAUAAAUGUAUUGAACAAAAUGAAACUGUAUUGAGCGUUGAAAAUUGUAUAAAUAUCGAAAAGGAUGCAAAUAAUGUAGAUGGUCAUGUUAUGGUUAGUAACAUCAUUAAUGUUUUCAGUAGCAGUAACAACAGUGUAAGUAAUAGUAAUAAUAACAAUCAUUCGCAAAUAAACAUAAAUAAAAAAAAAAAAACUGAUAUAAAAAUUGUGAGUAAAAACAAAAUAAACGAAACGGACAAAUUUUUUAAUGAGAAGAAGUACAAAAUGGGUACUACUUCUACUACUGCAAUUG